rnacentral:rRNA from 1 species
UCGAGAGGCUUUGGCAAUGGGGGAAACCCUGACCAAGCGACGCCGCGUGGGGGAUGAAGGCCCUUGGGUUGUAAACCCCUUUUGUUGGGGAAGAAAUGCGAUCAGGUGAACAAUCUGGUCGUUUGACGGUACCCGACGAAUAAGCUCCGGCUAACUCCGUGCCAGCAGCCGCGGUAACACGGGGGGAGCAAGCGUUGUUCGGAAUCACUGGGCGUAAAGGGCGUGUAGGCGGUUCGGUAAGUGAGAUGUGAAAUCCCUCGGCUCACCCGAGGACCUGCAUCUCAAACUGCCGGACUAGAGUAUGGGAGAGGAUGAGGGAAUUCCUGGUGUAGCGGUGAAAUGCGUAGAUAUCAGGAGGAACACCGGUGGCGAAAGCGCUCAUCUGGCCCAAUACUGACGCUGAGGCGCGAAAGCUAGGGGAGCAAACGG